rnacentral:tRNA from 1 species
GCGCCCGUAGCUCAAUUGGAUAGAGCACUGGUCUACGGAACCAGUUGUUGGCCGUUCAAGCCGGCCCGGGCGCGCCA